rnacentral:rRNA from 1 species
UUAAUUUAAUUAGAAUUUUAUUUUAAAGUAAAAAGCUUUAAAUAAUUUUAAAAGACGAGAAGACCCUAUAGAGUUUUAUAUUUUUUAUUAAUUUUUAAAUUUAAGAAUAUUAUUUAAUUAAUAUUGAUAAUAAAUAUUUAACUGGGGGGAUUGAAAAAUUUAAAUAACUUUUUUUUAUUUAAAACAUUGAUUUAUGA